CUGGUAGCGUGGAUUAGGCAUGCAAGUCGAACGGGAUCCGGAAGGUAGCAAUAGUCGCCGGUGAGAGUGGCGGAAGGGCGAGGAACGCGUGGACAACCUGUCCAUGGGACGGGAAAACUCCGGGAAACUGGAGCUAAUACCCGAUACGUCGCGGAGCGGCAUCGCUUCAGCGGCAAAGGGGGCGCCGCAAGGGCUCCCGCCCAACGAGGGGUCCGCGUAUCAUCAGCUUGUUGGCGGGUGACGGCCCACCAAGGCUUACGAUUAGCUGGUCUGAGAGGAUGGCCAGCCGCACUGGGACUGAGAUACUGCCCAGACUCCUACGGGAGGCUGCAGUCGAGGAUCAUUCGCAAUGGGGGAAACCCUGACGAUGCGACGCUGCGUGGAAGGAUGAAGGCCUUCGGGUUGUAAACUCCUGUCAUGAGGGAAAAGGCGAGAGUACCCAACACGUACUUUAGUUGAUGGUACCUCAAGAGGAAGCGACGGCUAACUCUGUGCCAGCCGCGGC
rnacentral:rRNA from 1 species